UUUAUGAUGGAAGUAAAUCUAUACUCAGCUCUAUGAUCUCUGUGAUUACUCAAUAGUUUUCUCACGACAGUCUUCUGACA
rnacentral:snoRNA from 14 species